CAUGUUUCUUGCUUUAAGCGUGGUCUGUGACGAAUAUUUCUGCGGUGCGUUGGAUAUCAUGGUGGAGAGAUGGCAAGUGAAACCUGAUGUUGCUGGGGCCACCUUCAUGGCCGCGG
rnacentral:ribozyme from 1 species